rnacentral:sRNA from 20 species
GUCAACAACCCCCCACUAGAAGUGGGGGGCUUGCAGGAGCAAUCCUACAGGCUCCAAGUUGACCAGACUCAGCAUUUUUUAAGUGCUACGUUACCGUAGAAAGAAAGUAGAGAUUUC